rnacentral:rRNA from 1 species
AGUGAACGCUGGCGGUAGGCCUAACACAUGCAAGUCGAACGGCAGCACAGUAAGAGCUUGCUCUUACGGGUGGCGAGUGGCGGACGGGUGGGGAAUACAUCGGAAUCUACUUUUUCGUGGGGGAUAACGUAGGGAAACUUACGCUAAUACCGCAUACGACCUACGGGUGAAAGCAGGGGAUCUUCGGACCUUGCGCGAUUGAAUGAGCCGAUGUCGGAUUAGCUAGUUGGCGGGGUAAAGGCCCACCAAGGCGACGAUCCGUAGCUGGUCUGAGAGGAUGAUCAGCCACACUGGAACUGAGGCACGGUCCAGACUCCUACGGGAGGCAGCAGUGGGGAAUAUUGGACAAUGGGCGCAAGCCUGAUCCAGCCAUACCGCGUGGGUGAAGAAGGCCUUCGGGUUGUAAAGCCCUUUUGUUGGGAAAGAAAAGCAGCAGGUUAAUACCCCGCUGUUCUGACGGUACCCAAAGAAUAAGCACCGGCUAACUUCGUG